UGCUGAUUGAUGUAGUGGUUAGCAUAUCAGAUUCUGAUCCGAUUAGAACGUUCAGCCUUCUGGGUACCGGGGUUCGAAUCCCCGAUCGGCAU